CCCGGAGGCCGAGGCUGCCGCCCCUGCUGCCCCAGCAUGCCCCCCGGACGAGCCGUGUCCCCCCCUCCGGCCGCGGGGGGGGCUGGACUCGGGUUUCCACAGCGUGGACAGCGGCAGCAAGCGCUGGUCGGGGAACGAGUGCACGGAGGAGUCCUUGGAGCCUCGGCAGCA